rnacentral:rRNA from 1 species
UGCCAGCAGCCGCGGUAAUACGGAGGUGGCAAGCGUUGCUCGGAAUUACUGGGCUUAAAGGGCGUGUAGGCGGCGAGAUCAGUCGGAUGUGAAAGCCCUCGGCUUAACCGAGGAAUUGCACUCGAAACUGUCUGGCUUGAGUGCGGGAGGGGAGAGUGGAACUCUAGGUGUAGCGGUGAAAUGCGUAGAUAUCUAGAGGAACGCCGGUGGCGAAAGCGACUCUCUGGCCCGCAACUGACGCUGAGGCGCGAAAGCUAGGGUAGCGAACAGGAUUAGAUA